rnacentral:rRNA from 1 species
CCCGCUGAACUUAAGCAUAUUAGUAAGCGGAGGAAAAGAAACUAAUAAGGAUUCCCGUAGUAACUGCGAGUGAAGUAGGAAAUGCCCAGCCAUGGAAUCUGUGCCCGUCGGGUUCAGAGUUGUGGGUUGGAGUGCCGAUACGCGAUGUAAUAUCCUCGCCUAAAUGGCCUGGAAUGGCCGGACAGUGAAGGUGAAAAUCCUGUGUGGCGAGGAAUGAACAUUUUGUGCGGUACGUAGAGUCGGACUGUUUGGGAUUGCAGUUUGAAGUGGGUGGGUGGUAGACUCCAUCUAAGGCUAAAUAUGAGCGAGAGACCGAUAGCGAACAAGUACCGUGAGGGAAAACUGAAAAGGACCUUGGAAAAGGGGUUAAAAGUAUGUGAAAUUGCUGACAGGGAACCGAUUGGUGUCGCGGUGUCGGACGGCUUCUGCCGCUGAACAGUUUCCUGCUUUAUUUUGGGUCGGUAGAAAAUUUAUUCUAAAACUGAGCGUUACCAAUCGACCCGUCUUGAAACACGG